UCUAAGAGAGAACGUGGGUGGAGUCCUGAAAGCGGAUCGUUUGAGUGUACAGCGAUCACGCCAGUAGAAGGCAGCCGUUCCACUCCAUAUAGCUGUUAGCUAUUAGCUUUUAGCGAUUAGCUGGGCAGCUAAAUCUCGUCUCGCAAUCUCCACUUGGAGAAUCUGGAAGAGUUUUGAGGUGGCGAAGGACUGGAUUCCUUCGUCCCUGCAUCCAACUGGCCUCGAUUGAUUAAGCAGAGAAUUCAGGAGUCAGAAUUCAGAAUGCGUGAUUGUGUUCUGGGUUUGGGCUGGCUCCUGGUUCUCGGGAUUUAGGGGCUGUAGCUCAGCUGGGAGAGCGCCUGAUUUGCAUUCAGGAGGUCGCCGGUUCGAUCCCGACCAGCUCCACCAGAGUGGCAGGAAGUAUCGCCGCUGGCCCGGGCCCGUAGCUCAGAUGGCUAGAGCGCACCCCUGAUAAGGGUGAGGUCGGUGGUUCGAUUCCACCUGGGCCCACCAAGAAUCAGCUAUUAGCUGCUAGCUAUUAGCUGUUAGCUUCUGUCGUCGCGACAGAGGUUGACAGCCAAUAGCUGGAAGCUCAUAGCUAAGAGCUAGCUGCUAAUAGCUAGCAGCUUUCAAUCGAUCUUUGACAAUUGAAUAUUUGACGGGCAUUUUAGAAAUCACAAGUUAAAGUAGCGUUCGAACAUUUGUGUACGAAGUAGACGUUAUGGUCAAGCUACUAAGGGCGUGUGUGUGGAUGCCUAGGCGCAAGAAGGCGAAGAAGGACGUGAUCAGCUGCGAUAAGCUUCGGGAAGCCGCUAAUAGGCUAUGAUCCGGAGAUUU
rnacentral:misc_RNA from 1 species